rnacentral:lncRNA from 13 species
CAGACACAUUUUCUCUUUUAUUUUGGGCUAUGUUGCCUAAAUACUUAUAAAUUCUAUCUACUUUUCUAUUAUCUGUUAAUGCUACUACAUGAUUACUUCUGAAAACAAGAUUACAACACAAUUGAGUGAGUUUCAUCUUUCUUCAGUCUGGGGAUACACUCUGAUCCUUUUGAUUGGACUUGAUAUCUCCCAUGUCUCCAAUGACAGCACUUACCAGGACAUCUUCUCUUAAGGUGGAGUCUCACUCUUUUCACCCAGACUGGAUUGUAGUGGCACUAUCUCAGCUUGCUGCAACUUCCACCUCCCAGGCUCAAGCGAUUCUCCUGCCUCAGCCUCCCCAGUAGUUGAGAUUACAGUAGAACUUUGACUACUGAGCCAGACGGUAGAAGAUUAAUGACGGCAUCAUUGGGUUAGAUGAAAAGAGAGGUGAAAUAAAAGGUAAAAGUGCAUAAAAGAGAGACGGAGA